AUACGUAGGGUGCAAGCGUUAAUCGGAAUUACUGGGCGUAAAGCGUGCGCAGGCGGUUUUGUAAGACAGUGGUGAAAUCCCCGGGCUUAACCUGGGAACUGCCAUUGUGACUGCAAGGCUGGAGUGCGGCAGAGGGGGGUGGAAUUCCGCGUGUAGCAGUGAAAUGCGUAGAGAUGCGGAGGACCCCCGAUGGCGAAGGCAAUCCCCGGGGCCUGCACGGACGCGCAGGAACGAAGGCGUGGGAAGCAAACAGGAUUAGAUACCCGGUUAGUCCACGCCCAAAACGAUGUUAAUAGGUGUUUGGGGAUUUAUUUUCUCAGUAACGAAGCUAACGCAUGAAGUAGACCGCCUGGGGAGUACGGCCGCAAGGUUAAAACUCAAAGGAAUUGACGGGG
rnacentral:rRNA from 1 species